rnacentral:rRNA from 1 species
GUUCGGUUUCUGCGUCCUCUUGGGGAAGGAUUCUGUGCUUGAUUGCAUGGGUUCUGAUUCAAGACUUUUACUUUGAGGAAAUUAGAGUGUUCACUGCAAGCAAUCGCUUUGAAUACAUUAGCAUGGAAUAAUAAUAUAGGGCUAUAGCUUUAUUUUGUUGGUUUCUAGGGCAAUAGCAAUGAUUAAUAGGGAUAAUUGGGGGUAUUCGUAUUAACACGUCAGAGGUGGAAUUCUUAGAUUGUGUUACGACGAACUACUGCGAAAGCAUUUACCAAGGGUGUUUUCAUUGAUCAAGAACGAAAGUAUGGGGAUCGAAGACGAUUAGAUACCGUCGUAGUCUAUACCAUAAACUAUGCCGACUAGGGAUUGAAGGUCGUUCUCUUUAUGACUCCUUCAGCAUCUCAUGAGAAAUCAAAGUUUUUGGGUUCCGGGGGGAGUAUGGUCGCAAGGCUGAAACUUAAAGGAAUUGACGGAAGGGCACCACCAGGAGUGGAGCCUGCGGCUUAAUUUGACUCA